GCCUAGGAAUCUGCCUGGUAGUGGGGGACAACGUUUCGAAAGGAACGCUAAUACCGCAUACGUCCUACGGGGGAAAGCAGGGGACCUUCGGGCCUUGCGCUAUCAGAUGAGCCUAGGUCGGAUUAGCUAGUAGGUGAGGUAAUGGCUCACCUAGGCGACGAUCCGUAACUGGUCUGAGAGGAUGAUCAGUCACACUGGAACUGAGACACGGUCCAGACUCCUACGGGAGGCAGCAGUGGGGAAUAUUGGACAAUGGGCGAAAGCCUGAUCCAGCCAUGCCGCGUGUGUGAAGAAGGUCUUCGGAUUGUAAAGCACUUUAAGUUGGGAGGAAGGGCAGUAAGUUAAUACCUUGCUGUUUUGACGUUACCAACAGAAUAAGCACCGGCUAACUUCGUGCCAGCAGCCGCGGUAAUACGAAGGGUGCAAGCGUUAAUCGGAAUUACUGGGCGUAAAGCGCGCGUAGGUGGUUCAGCAAGUUGGAGGUGAAAU
rnacentral:rRNA from 1 species